rnacentral:rRNA from 1 species
AGAGUUUGAUCCUGGCUCAGGAUGAACGCUGGCGGCGUGCCUAAUACAUGCAAGUCGAGCGAACCACUUCGGUGGGAAGCGGCGAACGGGUGAGUAACACGUAGGUGAUCUGCCCAUCAGACGGGGACAACGAUUGGAAACGAUCGCUAAUACCGGAUAGGACGAAAGUUUAAAGAUGCUUCUGGCAUCACUGAUGGAUGAGCCUGCGGCGCAUUAGCUAGUUGGUGGGGUAAAGGCCUACCAAGGCGACGAUGCGUAGCCGACCUGAGAGGGUGAACGGCCACACUGGGACUGAGACACGGCCCAGACUCCUACGGGAGGGCAGCAGUAGGGAAUCUUCGGCAAUGGGCGAAAGCCUGACCGAGCAACGCCGCGUGAAUGAAGAAGGCCUUCGGGUUGUAAAAUUCUGUUAUAAGGGAAGAAAGGUGAUAGGAGGAAAUGACUAUCAAUUGACGGUACCUUAUGAGAAAGCCACGGCUAACUACGUG